rnacentral:lncRNA from 1 species
CCUGAUCUAUUGUCUACACAGAAAUACAAACAAUGUCAACCUCACCUCAUUGGCCUUCUAUCCUUGCUAAGGUUGCAUUGUGAAUUCAGAGGUUGGUAGAAACAGAAAGAAUUUUAUCUUCAUCCAUAAAUGGGACUGUGAAUUUGUAGUUCUUGAGUCUUUUACCCAAGUUUAUGCCAAAUCUAUGAAUCCCCAUUCAUCACAUUUUUUAUCCCUGCCCAUCCCCUGUAUCCAGUUGACUGAAUGGGUCAAACCUCUAAGUCUUCAUACCCUUGCUGUCGAGCUCCCUUCCCAGACAGCAUCUUUCCCUGCCCCCCAAGAGACCACAACCUUUCCCAGCAAGGCAAGGUCAUAAACAUUUUUUUCUAUUUCAAUAAAAUUAGCCACCAUAGUUCCCAAACAAUUAAUUUUAAAAUCUUCAUCACCAGAAUCCACCCUCCCCACCUACUCUUUCAGCAAGCCCAACUCAAGCCCAUGUGUCAACCUCGCUGCCAAGGAGACAGCUGCAAAAAGCAAAAAGAACUAUGCAAUCGCCUGAUGGUGCUGGGGGAGAGCCAGUUACUCUUGUUACCAAGGAAACCUCCUGGCUUCCCAACUGGGUGGGCGGGGCAACAUCACUGGGCUUGUGGUGACAGGUCUCUAUAUCAAGAGGUCAGGAGUCACCAGGCAUUAUCUGAUCCGAGCUGUUCUGCGUGUAGCUCCACGAUACGCUAUUGUGACAAGUGGGAAGAAACGUUCUGUCUUUUUGCAGGGUCCUGGAAUAUUGUUUAUUCCUUUCAAACUCCUGGCUUAGGGAGAGAGGCAAAAAAAAAAAAAACAAAAAAAAAAACAAAAACAAAAACAAAAAAAACAAAACAACAACAACAACAACAAAAAACCCUUAAUGAGGGUUUCAGAAAAUGUUGUGUCUGAUGCAGCUUUUCAGUUUGAAUGUAGGUCGUUGAUAGGACUUUCAGCUUUACAGCUCACUUGGGGUGAGUGGCACCUCUGUAAAUACAUCCAUUUGUGGUUGGUCAGUGGGGUGGGAGGGCUGGGAGCCUGUCGUGCUUACUCUGAGUUAGACUUGCUGGGCUAGCUGCUGUACUUUGUAACCUGAAGUGUACUUUGACUGUUCUGUUUCCUUCUGAUGAAAAACUAAACAAAAACCAACUUCAAAAAAAAAAAAAAAAA